rnacentral:rRNA from 1 species
GAGGUGUGGAUAGGGGAGAAAUUCCAAUCGAACCCGGAGAUAGCUGGUUCUCCUCGAAAUAGCUUUAGGGCUAGCCCCGUAUUAGUUUAGCGGAGGUAGAGCACUGAAUUCCUAAGGGGGCGUCAAAGCUUACCAAGGGAUAUCAAACUCCGAAUGCCGCAUAAAUGAUGUACGGGAGUCAGACUGCACGAGAUAAGUUGGGCAGUCAAAAGGGAAAGAGCCCAGACCUACAGCUAAGGUCCCAAAGUGUGUGUUAAGUGGAAAAGGAUGUGGGAUUUCAAAGACAACUAGGAUGUUGGCUUAGAAGCAGCCACACAUUCAAAGAGUGCGUAAUAGCUCACUAGUCGAGAGGUCCUGCGCCGAAAAUGUCCGGGGCUAAAACACAACACCGAAGCUUAGGAAUGUAGUAAUACAUUGGUAGAGGAGCAUUCUUAAAGGAAUGAAGCAGUACCGAUAAGGAGCUGUGGACUUUUAAGAAGAGAGAAUGCCGGAAUGAGUAGCGAGAUGGAGGUGGGAAUCCUCCAGGCCGAAUAUCCAAGGUUUCCAGAGUAAAGCUGAUCUGCUCUGGGUAAGUCGGGGCCUAAGGUAAGGCUGAGAAGCGUAGCCGAUGGACAACAGGUUGAGAUUCCUGUACCGCGUAUCAUCAGAACUGUGGGGACACAGAAGGACAGCACAUCCCGGGAAUGGAAAGACCGGGGCAAGCAGGGUAGGAGUUAAGCUGGCAAAUCCGCUUAACAAUCCGAAGCUGUGAUGCGGAGCGAAUUUAAGUAGCGAAGUGUGCGAUUCCGGCUGUCAAGAAAAGCCGCUAUUGUGUGAUACGUGCCCGUACCGUAAACCGACACAGGUAGAUGAGGAGAGAAUCCUAAGGCCGGCGGGAGAAGCAUUGUUAAGGAACUCGGCAAAAUGACCCUGUAACUUCGGGAGAAAGGGUGCCUGGGAAACCAGGCCGCAGAGAAUAGGCUCAAGCAACUGUUUAGCAAAAACACAGGUCUAUGCAAAACCGUAAGGUGAGGUAUAUGGGCUGACGCCUGCCCGGUGCUGGAAGGUUAAGAGGAGGGGUUAGCGCAAGCGAAGCUCUGAAUUGAAGCCCCAGUAAACGGCGGCCGUAACUAUAACGGUCCUAAGGUAGCGAAAUUCCUUGUCGGGUAAGUUCC